GAUGAACGCUAGCGGCAGGCUUAACACAUGCAAGUCGAGGGGUAUAGGUUUUCGGACCUAGGGACCGGCGCACGGGUGCGUAACGCGUAUGCAAUCUACCUUUCACAGAGGGAUAGCCCAGAGAAAUUUGGAUUAAUACCUCAUAGUAUAGCAGUUUCGCAUGAAACCACUAUUAAAGUUCCAACGGUGAAAGAUGAGCAUGCGUCCCAUUAGCUAGAUGGUAAGGUAACGGCUUACCAUGGCUACGAUGGGUAGGGGUCCUGAGAGGGAGAACCCCCACACGGGUACUGAGACACGGACCAGACUCCUACGGGAGGCAGCAGUGAGGAAUAUUGGUCAAUGGACGCAAGUCUGAACCAGCCAUGCCGCGUGCAGGAUGACGGUCCUAUGGGUUGUAAACUGCUUUUGUACGAGAAGAAACAACAUUACGUGUAAUGUCUUGACGGUAUCGUAAGAAUAAGGAUCGGCUAACUCCGUGCCAGCAGCCGCGGUAAAAC
rnacentral:rRNA from 1 species